rnacentral:rRNA from 1 species
GACGAACGCUGGCGGCGUGCUUAACACAUGCAAGUCGAACGAUGAUGCCCAGCUUGCUGGGUGGAUUAGUGGCGAACGGGUGAGUAACACGUGAGUAACCUGCCCCUGACUCUGGGAUAAGCGUUGGAAACGACGUCUAAUACUGGAUAUGACUGCCGGCCGCAUGGUCUGGUGGUGGAAAGAGUUUUGGUGGGGGAUGGACUCGCGGCCUAUCAGCUUGUUGGUGAGGGAAUGGCUCACCAAGGCGACGACGGGUAGCCGGCCUGAGAGGGUGACCGGCCACGCUGGGACUGAGACACGGCCCAGACUCCUACGGGAGGCAGCAGUGGGGAAUGUUGCACAAUGGGCGAAAGCCUGACGCAGCAACGCCGCGUGAGGGAUGACGGCCUUCGGGUUGUAAACCUCUUUUAGUAGGGAAGAAGCGUAAGUGACGGUACCUGCAGAAAAAGCACCGGCUAACUACGUGCCAGCCGCCGCGGUAAGAC